rnacentral:rRNA from 1 species
ACAAGGUCUCCGUUGGUGAACCAGCGGAGGGAUCAUUACCGAGUUUACAACUCCCAAACCCAAUGUGAACGUUACCAAACUGUUGCCUCGGCGGGAUCUCUGCCCCGGGUGCGUCGCAGCCCCGGACCAAGGCGCCCGCCGGAGGACCAACCAAAACUCUUUUUGUAUACCCCCUCGCGGGUUUUUUUUAUAAUCUGAGCCUUCUCGGCGCCUCUCGUAGGCGUUUCGAAAAUGAAUCAAAACUUUCAACAACGGAUCUCUUGGUUCUGGCAUCGAUGAAGAACGCAGCGAAAUGCGAUAAGUAAUGUGAAUUGCAGAAUUCAGUGAAUCAUCGAAUCUUUGAACGCACAUUGCGCCCGCCAGUAUUCUGGCGGGCAUGCCUGUCCGAGCGUCAUUUCAACCCUCGAACCCCUCCGGGGGGUCGGCGUUGGGGAUCGGCCCUGCCUCUUGGCGGUGGCCGUCUCCGAAAUACAGUGGCGGUCUCGCCGCAGCCUCUCCUGCGCAGUAGUUUGCACACUCGCAUCGGGAGCGCGGCGCGUCCACAGCCGUUAAACACCCAACUUCUGAAAUGUUGACCUCGGAUCAGGUAGGAAUACCCGCUGAACUUAAGCAUAUCU